rnacentral:piRNA from 1 species
UUUCCAGAUAACCUGAUUCGCA